UACGGAGGGUGCAAGCGUUAUCCGGAUUCACUGGGUUUAAAGGGUGCGUAGGAGGGCAGGUAAGUCAGUGGUGAAAUCUUCGAGCUUAACUCGGAAACUGCCGUUGAUACUAUCUGUCUUGAAUACCGUGGAGGUGAGCGGAAUAUGUCAUGUAGCGGUGAAAUGCUUAGAUAUGACAUAGAACACCAAUUGCGAAGGCAGCUCGCUACACGAAUAUUGACUCUGGAGCACGAAAGCGUGGGGAUCAAACAGG
rnacentral:rRNA from 1 species